GAUGAACGCUGGCGGCGUGCUUAACACAUGCAAGUCGAACGAUGAAGCCCAGCUUGCUGGGUGGAUUAGUGGCGAACGGGUGAGUAACACGUGAGUAACCUGCCCUUGACUCUGGGAUAAGCCCGGGAAACUGGGUCUAAUACCGGAUAGGAGCGCCUGUCGCAUGACGGGUGUUGGAAAGAUUUUUCGGUCAUGGAUGGACUCGCGGCCUAUCAGCUUGUUGGUGAGGUAAUGGCUCACCAAGGCGACGACGGGUAGCCGGCCUGAGAGGGUGACCGGCCACACUGGGACUGAGACACGGCCCAGACUCCUACGGGAGGCAGCAGUGGGGAAUAUUGCACAAUGGGCGGAAGCCUGAUGCAGCGACGCCGCGUGAGGGAUGACGGCCUUCGGGUUGUAAACCUCUUUCAGUAGGGAAGAAGCGAAAGUGACGUACCUGCAGAAGAGCCC
rnacentral:rRNA from 1 species